GACGAACGCUGGCGGCGUGCUUAACACAUGCAAGUCGAACGGAAAGGCCCUGCUUUUUUGGGCUGCUCGAUGGGCGAACGGGUGAGUAACACGUGAGUAACCUGCCCUUGACUUUGGGAUAACUUCAGGAAACUGGGGCUAAUACCGUAUAGGAUCUCCUGCUGCAUGGUGGGGGGUGGAAAGUUUCGGCGGUUGGGGAUGGACUCGCGGCUUAUCAGCUUGUUGGUGGGGUAGUGGCUUACCAAGGCUUUGACGGGUAGCCGGCCUGAGAGGGUGACCGGCGACAUUGGGACUGAGGUAGGGCGCAGAGUCGUAUGGGAGGCAACAGGGGGGAACAUUGCACAAUGGGAGGAAGCCUGAUGCAGCAACGCCGCGUGCGGGAUGACGGCCUUCGGGUUGUAAACAGCUUUCGCCUGUUACGACGCGUGAGUGACGGUAAUGGGUAAAGAAGCACCGGCUAACUACGUG
rnacentral:rRNA from 1 species